UCUGGAUAAAUUAAAAGAUUAUUU
rnacentral:piRNA from 1 species